rnacentral:rRNA from 1 species
GCCGGUGAUGACAGCAAAGUGGAAACACCUGAUCCCAUUCCGAACUCAGCCCAAUUUUUAAUCACCGGGCACUUUUGCGCCGAUGGUACUACCGAAAGGUGGGAGAGUAGGUCGUUGCCGGUU